UACGUAGGGUGCAAGCGUUGUCCGGAAUUAUUGGGCGUAAAGAGCUCGUAGGCGGUCUGUCACGUCGGCUGUGAAGACCUGGGGCUCAACCCCGGGCCUGCAGCCGAUACGGGCAGACUAGAAUUCGGUAGGGGAGACUGGAAUUCCUGGUGUAGCGGUGAAAUGCGCAGAUAUCAGGAGGAACACCGGUGGCGAAGGCGGGUCUCUGGGCCGAUAUUGACGCUGAGGAGCGAAAGCGUGGGGAGCGAACAGG
rnacentral:rRNA from 1 species